GGGGGGGGGGGGGGGGGGGGGGGGGGGGGGGGGGGGGGGGGGGCGGGGGGGGAGGGUGCGUCGGUGAUGGUAGCGGCGGACGGGGGGGUAACACGUGGCGAACCUACCGAUGAGACUGGGGUAACGUCGGGCAAGCGGAGCUAGUACCGGAUAAUAUUUUUCACCGCAUGUUUCACAAGUGCAAGACGUUCUGGCUGUCACUUAUAGAUGGAUCCGCGCUGCAGUAGCUAGUUGGUAAGGUAACGGCUUACCAAGGCAACGAUGAAUAGCCGACCUGAGAGGGUGAUCGGCCACACUGGAACUGAGACACGGUCCAGACUCCUACGGGAGGCAGCAGUAGGGAAUCUUCCGCAAAGGGCGAAAGCAUGACGGAGCAACGCCGCGUGAGUGAUGAAGGUCUUCGGAUCGUAAAACUCUGUUAUUAGGGAAGAACAUAUGUGUAAGUAACUGUGCACAUCUUGACGGUACCUAAUCAGAAAGCCACGGCUAACUACGUG
rnacentral:rRNA from 1 species